ACUGAGUUUUGAGACGUGUCAAAUAGAUGGCGUGUUGAUUGUUGUGUCAGUUAUGGGUUUAUGGCGUUUUGCUGUCAAAAGUGAAGUUAUCUUUUCUUCGAAAAUUAUCAAUGAAUUCACAUGUAAAUUCGAGUGAUUUCGUCUCUAACUUGUCGGUGAUGUGUUCUAUUCCGUGUAUGUGUUAGAUAACUUUAAUGUUUCUCAUCAACUUAUAGGAGGAAACAUGAAAGGGUCGUUGCCGUCGUGCAGCCUACCGUCAUCUAUUUUGUUCAAAAUCUUUGUAUUCUUCCGAAUGUGCCAUCGAAAUGAUACAGAAUUUAUAAUUAUCUGCUGUUUGUAUUGGACUUGCUAGAUCACCAACCCCAGCAUAGACCAAUCUCUCAUUUCAUCUUCUCGAGAGAAGAUUGGAUAACUGAUCUGUGGUUUCAUGUGUAAGUUCACUUAUUAUGUCACUGAACUUUUGCCGUUGCAGCCUAAUAUGUAUUUAAAGAUCUUAACUCCAGGUUUCUAAAUUUGCAUGGCAGACUUUAUGAGAAGUCAUGUCCUUUCAAGAAAGUCAACAAGGUCACUUGUUUACUAACCUUUUGGCUGCUACCCUUGAAUCUCCCUUUUUACUCUCUAAAUAGCGGGCCAUCUUAA